CCUACGGGUGGCAGCAGUGGGGAAUAUUGGACAAUGGGCGAAAGCCUGAUCCAGCCAUGCCGCGUGUGUGAAGAAGGCCUUCGGGUUGUAAAGCACUUUCAGUGGGGAAGAAAGCCUUGGGGCUAAUACCCUCGAGGAAGGACAUCACCCACAGAAGAAGCACCGGCUAACUCCGUGCCAGCAGCCGCGGUAAUACGGAGGGUGCGAGCGUUAACCGGAAUUACUGGGCGUAAAGCGCGCGUAGGCGGUCUGAUAAGCCGGUUGUGAAAGCCCCGGGCUCAACCUGGGAACGGCAUCCGGAACUGUCAGGCUAGAGUGCAGGAGAGGAAGGUAGAAUUCCCGGUGUAGCGGUGAAAUGCGUAGAGAUCGGGAGGAAUACCAGUGGCGAAGGCGGCCUUCUGGACUGACACUGACGCUGAGGUGCGAAAGCGUGGGUAGCAAACAGGAUUAGAUACCCUAGUAGUC
rnacentral:rRNA from 1 species